rnacentral:misc_RNA from 1 species
CGGUCUUAUUUUCUCGUUAUCGUUUUCCUCCUUCGAGGUGGGUGGGUGGGUGGCGGUGUGGUAGGCUGGAGAGGGGAAUUGCUGCAUUUCUAAUGGCAGGUGAUGGUUCUAUCGUAGUGUUGGUUAUUAUGGUGUGGUGGUAAUAGCCGAAUUCCAAGAAUGUGGUUGAUUCAACUAAAGUAUAAACACUAGUGCAGAAUCUGGGAUAUUUACUAGUACUUGGUGAUAGGGACAGCACAGGGCAAUAAUUUCAAAGUAAGCUUAGUUG